UUGAAUUUCUACACACUUUUCUUUUAUCAAUAACUGCAUAAACAAACAUUGAUUAAUCCCCUUUAGAAGGUAACUGAAGCAAACUGCAAACAUUCAUAAUCACUCACCCACAGUUGUUUAACUCACACGCACAAAACCCACACUCCAGUUCGAAAUUCCUAAACCGAGAGAAAUAAAACCAAGUGAAACGAGGAACAGGGACCAGCAAAAUCGCACUCAGACUCGCAAUUCUGCACACUUUCCAAGACCCUUUCCCUCAAUUUUUCGAAUCAUCUCACGCAAGUACAGACAGAAUCAACAACACCCUUCCCACACCGCAUUAAAGCAGAAUGGCAAAAAUAGUCAACCUCGGCACAAAAAAGUGGGAGUCUUGGUGAUCUUGGAGGCGAAGAUUGCAGGAUGAGGGAUCCUCCGAAGUCGAAUUCACUUGCAGAUAUUCUCUCUCCACCGAGAACAAUGGGCUGCCAUGGCUUUUCAGGCUCCCCAAAAACGACGACGACGACGACGAUGAUGAUGAACGAGUAGCGGUGGAUAGUGCUGUUUCAGAGUCUCUAGUGUGACUGGGUUACGGAGAUUUUUGCUGCAGCGUGAAUUUUAGGGAUGACUAAAUUUAGGAUCUGUGAAGGGCAGGAUGCUUUUCGGUGUAUGGUCAAGUGAGGGGAUUGCAUGCUUUGGGACAUUCCCUCGUCCACGUUUCUCUCACUUCGGUGUUUCGAUGCUCUUAACUGUGCGGGAGCGUUUCCCACAUGAAUCCCGCAUGUUCAGCAUUUCAACAAGUGGGUCACCCCGCCUUCCCUUUCGAAUUGUAUUAGCAAUUACUCUUAUUGAUGCGGAAAAGUGCCCAACUGCUCCUACUCCAGGGUUGUCCGUGGGAGGCAGGUUCUGGUCCUCGUAGGCGCCAGGGUGUAACGUCAAUGCCGCUGGACUACCAGUUUUCGGAAAUCAUGCAGCUAGGACCUGAGCCAUGAAAGGAUUUUCAAGGCAAUCUGUGUCUCUCGGGGAUCCGGAGUACGUUAUCGGAGUAUCUGCUGGCAUAGAUUCCGAUUGGUCGUGUUGUCUUUUCGAGCAAAAAAAAGGGAGAUAGGGAGAAUUUGGGGCGUGGUGGCGACACAAGAAUCCUGCAGAUGAGAAUGUGAACGGCAACCAAAAAAUCAACAGCUGUUGCCCUGAUGGUGCUUGCAGUCAGUACAUUGCAGGAUGCAUGUUAACUUGGUCCUAAAAUAAUCCACGCACGGAACAUUCAUGAGGGUGAAGUACUGUGUGCACCUGAAAGUUGCACGAAUACUAUCGAUAAUGGAGUACUGAUCGGCAGUGCUUCUGGGAAACCCUGCAAAUACCAGCCGGAGCAGAUAUCAUCUUCCGCAACAUGAUGUAGCCAGCCUCAGUUGGUCAUGCUUCAGCUUUGCAGGAGUUGAGGUAUUGAGCCACUGUAAGAAUACCUGCAUACUCGUCGCUCCACACUUGCAAAAAAUGGCAUUGCCCUGCUAUGUUCCUCCGACAUCUGCGAAAUACGUUUGACCCAAAUGAAAGUUUGUCACUGCUAGUUUUUGGGAGGAAUGGUUGCGGGCCAAGAGAAUAGUGAGUGGCAUUAUGUCGCUUGACACUCUCGUGGUAACUCGAUUAUUAUUGGGCAAUUAGGGGCGUCUUACAUGACUGAUCUGAGUUACCGUAUCCUACAACAUGAGUUGAAUUGCAGUCAACUCGUCUUUAGCAACUGGAAAUACUCUCGAGAGCUCGUCUUU